GACUGAUAGGGUGAGUAAAGAUUUUUUGGUUAAUAAUUAGUAUUUAUUUCUUUAUUAAAGUGGGUUAUAAAAAUAAAAGGUGAAAUUUAGUGUUAAGAUAUUCUUUUUUUAGUAGUAGAAGAUUUAUGAGGUUAUGAAGUUUAGGAUAUAAAAUAGGAUUAGAUACCCUAUUAUACUUAAAUGAAAAUAAAAUAUACUGGAUUAGUAAUUAGUUAUGGGCUUGAAAUUUAAAGAAUUUGGCGGUAUUUUAGUCAAGUUAGAGGAACUUGUUUCAUAAACGAUAUACCACGAAUGAUCUUACCUUCCUUUGAAGAAUUCAGCUCGUAUACCGCCAUUAUUAGAUAAUUUUUAUAGGAGUUUAUUGAAAUAAGGUUGAAUUUAAUAUAUUAGGUCAAGGUGCGGCCUAUAGGGAGGCGUAUAAUGAGUUACAAUAAAAUUUUAUGUUAAACGGAAUUUGUUAUUAAAUUAAUUAAGUGAAGGAGGAUUUAAUUGUAAUUAUACUUUAAUAGGGUAUAUUGAUACGGGCUCUAGAAUAUGUACACAUCGCCCGUCGCUCUCAUUAAUUAACGU
rnacentral:rRNA from 1 species